rnacentral:misc_RNA from 1 species
CUUACGAAAGACAACCACGCUACAACAAACGUACAGUCUAGUAAGAGACCAUAUUGCCAGGUAUGUGACUGCAAACAUCAAACCAAAUAUCCAAAUAUUUUCUUCGCCACUUCAUGGAAAUUGUUCCCCACUACUGCACUCCUGAAUGACAUUGACAUUACAAGCAUGAAAAUAGACCACACAACCAAUCAAGUAAUGAACCACACCCCACUACAACCAUGCAGGAUCAAACAAGUAGCAGAACACGUGUCGACAAGCAGCAUAAAUAAACUCACUUUUGUGCCUCGAAGUGUAACACG